UACGUAGGGUGCAAGCGUUACUCGGAAUUAUUGGGCGUAAAGCGCAUGUAGGCGGCUUUAUAAGUCUGAUGUGAAAUCCCUGGACUCAAUUCAGGAACUGCAUUGGAUACUGUAAGGCUAGAGUAGAGGAGAGGUAGGCGGAAUUCCUGGUGUAGAGGUGAAAUUCGUAGAUAUCAGGAGGAACAACAGAGGCGAAGGCGGCUUACUGGACUCUAACUGACGCUGAGAUGCGACAGUGUGGGGAGCAAACAGG
rnacentral:rRNA from 1 species